rnacentral:rRNA from 1 species
UACGGAGGGUGCAAGCGUUAUCCGGAUUCACUGGGUUUAAAGGGUGCGUAGGCGGGUAGGUAAGUCAGUGGUGAAAUCUUCGAGCUUAACUCGGAAACUGCCUUUGAUACUAUCUAUCUUGAAUAUUGUGGAGGUAAGCGGAAUAUGUCAUGUAGCGGUGAAAUGCUUAGAUAUGACAUAGAACACCUAUUGCGAAGGCAGCUUACUACUAAUGGAUUGACGCUGAUGGACGAAAGCGUGGGUAGCGAACAGG